rnacentral:rRNA from 1 species
GAUUGUAGUCUGCAACUCGACUACAUGAAGUCGGAAUCGCUAGUAAUCGCAGGUCAGCAUACUGCGGUGAAUACGUUCCCGGGCCUUGUACACACCGCCCGUCACACCACGAAAGUUGACAACACCCGAAGCCGGUGAGCUAACUCGCAAGAGAGGCAGCCGUCGAAGGUGGGGUUGAUGAUUGGGGUGAAGUCGUAACAAGGUAGCCGUAUCGGAAGGUGCGGCUGGAUCACCUCCUUU